AGUGAACGCUGGCGGUAGGCCUAACACAUGCAAGUCGAACGGCAGCACAGUAAGAGCUUGCUCUUACGGGUGGCGAGUGGCGGACGGGUGAGGAAUACAUCGGAAUCUACUUUUUCGUGGGGGAUAACGUAGGGAAACUUACGCUAAUACCGCAUACGACCUACGGGUGGAAGCAGGGGAUCUUCGGACCUUGCGCGAUUGAAUGAGCCGAUGUCGGAUUAGCUAGUUGGCGGGGUAAAGGCCCACCAAGGCGACGAUCCGUAGCUGGUCUGAGAGGAUGAUCAGCCACACUGGAACUGAGACACGGUCCAGGGUCCUACGGGAGGCAGCAGUGGGGAAUAUUGGACAAUGGGCGCAAGCCUGAUCCAGCCAUACCGCGUGGGUGAAGAAGGCCUUCGGGUUGUAAAGCCCUUUUGUUGGGAAAGAAAAGCAGCAGGUUAAUACCCCGCUGUUCUGACGGUACCCAAAGAAUAAGCACCGGCUAACUUCGUG
rnacentral:rRNA from 1 species